UAUCACCAAGACCAUGAUGACCCACUCUAAGCAAUAAAAGAAGAAUUCAUGUAGGUAUAAAUAUGAAGGAGCGUAUCCUAUAUACCACAAGUGGAAAUUCUCAUUUCCCAUAAAAAUUCAUAUUGAAAAUACAUUACAAGUCUUUUCCAAACCAUGGAAAGAUUAACAUAAACAACAGAAUUAUCGUAAUGCAAUUUAAACAAAGCAUGGAAUGCACAACUAGACAACGCAUGAAUUUGAUAAACAUAAAUCUUUGUAAAAGAAAACAUCGAUGGUUACAAGAGAGUCAAAAGUAUUCCCACCUAUUUUGAUGACAAGCCACGCCUACCUCGAUAUCCACGAUCCACUGGUUCAUCCUUUGAAUCGAUCGUUGUUAAUAUAGACUAAUUGUUGAUCAUACAAGAACUCUAAGAAACUAGCCAAAAUGGCUCAUACAAGAAUCACACAAGUCUAUCUAAUGGUUCUAAGCCUUCUUCUACACCAUUUUAUUAUUUAUCUUUAACAUAUCCAAGGUUUAUUAAUUCAAUUAGGUUGAUUCUAUAGUCCAUUAGUUAAAUCUUAUGAACAUCUACAACUUUGUCGAAGGAACCAAAGUAGGGCUGAGCAGAAAAACCGUAACCGCGGUUUUCAUCCGUAUCCGUCCGCAAAUUUGCGGGUAAAAACCAAUCUGCAAGAAUUAUGGACCGGACACGGGUGCAUUUUCAAAUCCGCACGUGGUGCGGUUACAGUUGCGGUUGGGAUUUGAUAACCGCGGAUUACCCGCACCGUAGGACAUUUAGGGAAUUAUUAAAAGUAUUAAGGAUAAUAUGGGAAGUUGGGGUUUUAUAUAUAAGGAUCUUAUAUUUCUAAACCCUAAUAGCCUUUUUUUCUUUCUUCGAGUUCAUCGUCUCAUCGUCUCAUCUUUUUUUCUUCGAGUUCAUCGAGUUCAUCUUCGAUUGCAGAGAAGUAAUUUCUUCUUCAUUGGUUGUAACAUCUUUAUCGAUUUGCAGAGAAGUAAGUAACGAUUAACUUUAGUUUUGAUUGCAGAAAAAUUAAAUUUUUUGAUUUUUUUUCCCCAAAUCGAUUGCAUGUUUGUGAUUGGUUUAAAGUAAAAGUUUCUCUUCUUUCUCUUUCGUUUCUUUAAGUUUCUAGGUUAAUAGCCAAGCUCUUUGUUCACUAAUCACCAGCGUUGGCGAUCAAAAGUUGAUUUUCUCGCAACCUCAAGCAAAUACCACUUUCUGUUCAUGUAUUCAGUAUUCUUUGACUCUUUCAUAAAAGGUAAUUACUUUUAGGUUUACUUUAAUUUGGUGUAAAGUUUGAUUUUUCAUCUAAGAUUAUGUGGAACUGAAAAUUGAGAAUUUGAGAUUGAUAUUUGUUAGAUCAUUUGUAUGAUUUAGUGGUUUCCAUUAUCAAUUAAAUUUAGAUAAUUUUAAUUUCAGUUCAGAUUUUUGUUUUAGGAAUUAGGAUUAACUUUCAAUUAUCAAUUCAAUUGGGAACUGGGGAUUCAUUCUCAUUUAAUUGUAUUCAUUUUUGAGUUCUUAUUUUGUUUUGGGAAAUAGGGUUAAGUAACUUUUAAUUCAAUUGGGUACAGGGAAUUCUAAUUGGUGUAUAUUUGUUUUGGGAAUUAAGGUUAAAUUAUAUUCGUUUUCAAUUUCUAAUUCAUUUUUUUAUUUUCAUUGGUUCAAUCAAUGGGUACCAUUUUUUUGUGAAUAAAUCAUAUUUGGAAAAGGGGUUAUUAAUGUUGAUAGCUUUUCCUUCACAUCCGGGAAGAAAAGAAGUAUAAUUUUAGUCGGCUGAAGACGAAGGGAUAUAGACGAGGAAGCGUUGCAAAGAAAGAGGAAUUGAGUAUUGGGAGGCUUUUGAUUUGGGUAGACAUCAAAUCGCUUGAUUAUUACGGUAAGAUGCGGCAGAAAUCUUGCAGGAAAUUCCAGACAUAUCUAUCAUGGAUUGAAUAAACUAGUACUCGAAUCCAAGGUCUCUUUUUCAGUUUUUGGCAUCAGAGAUUCAUAUGGCUUGGCACCAGACUUGUUGCAUUUGAAUUAGUACUCUUUUGUGUUAGCUGUUAACUAUCUUAUGUCUAUUGUUGCUUUUGAAUUACUGAAUUAGAACUCUUUUGUGUUAAAAAAACGUUU